GAGGAUAAAACUGUACGACUCCUCUGUGGAUCCCAACGAUCCUGCUGUGAAAGCAGACCUCCUGAAAAAGACAAGUCUCCAAACUCCAUCCUGUAACAUCCGGCACAUUUUAGUGAUUUCAUGUGUGGACACAGUGAUCACAGACCAAAUGACAGACUGAAGGAGUGAGUGGAGUCAAUGUGAAGUGGAGAGAGGAGCCUGAUGGGAAAGUCUGCCACAAAGAGGAUCCAUCAGUAACCCCACCUGCAUGUUAGCUGAGCUUUUCAAAUAACUUAAGUGUGGCAGCGCUAUAUUAUGUUUGAAUCUCUAAUACGAGUGCCUUUGAGAAGAGAGUGUGACAUUUCAUGUAGGCUGGCAGCUCGUUCCUUUAGUUAUUGUGAACUCUUGCAAGCCACUAGUUUGUGUGUGUUGGUUUAAUUCUACUGGAAAUCACAGCAGAGACAACUUUGCAUUUUAACAAUACAAUCCAGCAUAUUGACUGUCUCCACCUUCACCAGUCUACUUUUUGUUCUAUGAUGACGUGUCUGAGGACAUGUGUUCUGUGCUGUUUUCAUUCUGAGAUAAGUCAUAAAUAGAAGCAUACUA